UUGGAUAAACCAAGGCGAGCUGUCUUGCUGGCCUCCCCUCCAGGAGGCAUGUGCACGCUCGUCAAACGUUUCAUUCAUCCCUUUCCACCUGUGCACACACUGUAGGUCGGAAAUCCCCCUACCUCGACGAACAGAGGUUUUUGGGGGCCUCCUUCCGGUCCUACGUCCUCACAUCCUACCCUACUACGUAUGUGAUACGAAUGUAACGAUCUAGGCCUCGCGCCUAAUAAACACAAUA
rnacentral:misc_RNA from 1 species